GACGAACGCUGGCGGCGUGCUUAACACAUGCAAGUCGAACGGAAAGGCCCUGCUUUUGUGGGGUGCUCUAGUUGCGAACGGGUGAGUAACACGUGAGUAACCUGCCCUUGACUUUGGGAUAACUUCAGGAAACUUGGGCUAAUACCGGAUAGGAGCUCCUGCUGCAUGGUGGGGGUUGGAAAGUUUCGGCGGUUGGGGAUGGACUCGCGGCUUAUCAGCUUGUUGGUGGGGUAGUGGCUUACCAAGGCUUUGACGGGUAGCCGGCCUGAGAGGGUGACCGGACACAUUGGGACUGAGAUACGGCCCAGACUCCUACGGGAGGCAGCAGUGGGGAAUAUUGCACAAUGGGCGGAGGCAUGAUGCAGCAAAGCAGCGUGCGGGAUGACGGCCAUCGGGUUGUAAACCGAUUUCGCCUGUGACGAAGCGUGAGUGACGGUAAUGGGUAAAGAAGCACCGGCUAACUACGUG
rnacentral:rRNA from 1 species